rnacentral:rRNA from 1 species
CAAUAGCGUAUAUUAAAGUUGUUGCAGUUAAAAAGCUCGUAGUUGGAUUUCUGGUGGGAGCGAUCGGUCUGGCGCUUAGCGCGAGUACUUGCAUCGUCUCCGGCCAUCCUUGGGGAGAGUCUGUCUGGCAUUAGGUUGUCGGGCAGAGGAUCUUCAUCGUUUACCGUGAAAAAAUUAGAGUGUUCAAAGCAGGCUUAUGCCGUUGAAUAUAUUAGCAUGGAACAAUAAGAUAGGACUUUGGUACUAUUUUGUUGGUUUGCGCACCAAAGUAAUGAUUAAUAGGGACAGUUGGGGGUAUUCGUAUUCCGUUGUCAGAGGUGAAAUUCUUGGAUUUACGGAAGACGAACUACUGCGAAAGCAUUUACCAAGGAUGUUUUCAUUAA